rnacentral:rRNA from 1 species
CAGUCGCCGCGGGAAUACGAAGGGGGCUAGCGUUGUUCGGAUUUACUGGGCGUAAAGCGCACGUAGGCGGAUCCUUAAGUCAGAGGUGAAAUCCCAAGGCUCAACCUUGGAACUGCCUUUGAUACUGGGGAUCUCGAGUUCGGGAGAGGUGAGUGGAACUGCGAGUGUAGAGGUGAAAUUCGUAGAUAUUCGCAAGAACACCAGUGGCGAAGGCGGCUCACUGGCCCGAUACUGACGCUGAGGUGCGAAAGCGUGGGGAGCAAACAGGAUUAGAUACCCCUGUAGUCCCUGUCUCUUAUAC